UUGCUAUAGUAGCACAGAUACUAAAAUUGGAAUGAAGCAACAAUUACCAUGGCCCCUACAAAAAGAUGGCAUGUAAAUUCAUGAAGCAUCCCAUAUUUUG
ensembl:snRNA U6 U6 spliceosomal RNA